GAUGAACGCUGGCGGCGUGCCUAAUACAUGCAAGUCGAGCGAACAGACGAGGAGCUUGCUUCUCUGACGUUAGCGGCGGACGGGUGAGUAACACGUGGAUAACCUACCUAUAAGACUGGGAUAACUUCGGGAAACCGGAGCUAAUACCGUAUAAUAUCUUGAACCGCAUGGUUCAACAGUGAAAGUCGGUCUUGCUGUCACUUAUAGAUGGAUCCGCGCUGCAUUAGCUAGUUGGUAAGGUAACGGCUUACCAAGGCAACGAUGCAUAGCCGACCUGAGAGGGUGAUCGGCCACACUGGAACUGAGACACGGUCCAGACUCCUACGGGAGGCAGCAGUAGGGAAUCUUCCGCAAUGGGCGAAAGCCUGACGGAGCAACGCCGCGUGAGUGAUGAAGGUCUUCGGAUCGUAAAACUCUGUUAUUAGGGAAGAACAUAUGUGUAAGUAACUAUGCACGUCUUGACGGUACCUAAUCAGAAAGCCACGGCUAACUACGUG
rnacentral:rRNA from 1 species